CCGCAGGGCCCGCCGCCGCCCCAAACCCCCCCACCUGUCCUCACCUCACAAUGGCCCUACACUCCAGGACUCAGCCAGCCCUUCAUCCUCCAGCCUUAGCUAUUGCAAUUCCCUUCCUUGUGGCCUCUGCAAGUCUGCGAGUGGUGCUGUCUGCCUUCUCGGAUGGACAAUACACCCACCUCCUCCCAGCAAUUCUGCCUUCUCAUUCAUUUCAAAAUCCAGUUAGAAAGUGAUCUUGUGGCUUCUUUUUGUCUGAUUGCCGUGUAUAAGCCUGCUUCACAAAACUUGAGUGGCUGAACCCCGCUGGCUUAUUGGCAUACCGCUCACACAACAAAGCCACUGUCGGUACAAGAACCUUCUCCUCUGCAACUCCAGCCAUCUGGAACAGCCUUUUUCAACUCCAGCUCAUCAACUCUCCACCUCAUUUCAAAUCUAAGCUAAAGAUACCUCUAUUCUCCCCUGCCUAUAUCUCUGAAUUCCCUUCUUUGCUAUUAUGUAUUUGAUUCUUUUUUGCGGUACUGUCUAAUUCUGUAAAGUAUUAUGGGUUACAAAUUAUAUAAUCCGUAUGAAGAACAUUGAUCUAAUCUUGUAAAUCCUUGUGAGUUGUUACCUAAGUAGUCUUUACAUGAGUAGCCCCAUUGACGUCACUGGGACUACUCAUAUGCAUGAUGAUUACUUACAUGAGUCAGGGUUUGCAAAUGGAACCAUAAAUUGGAUUGAACAUUCCAUCACUAGUUUGUCACUCCCCUGCUGCUCCUCUAUGUCUGUCUAUAACCUAAAUAAUUGGAAGAUUGGAAAAUUUCAACUCUAUCUUGACUAUGUUUCUAUCAGAAUCAUUUACAUCUGACUGACCACCUCUGAACUGUUUGAAUACACUGCACUGUUUUAUACCAUAAGAGUAGAAUACUAGAUAUAGUGGAGGUGUUGGUAUAAGAUUAAUAAUUUAGAAGGAAGCCAUCAUAAAUUUAGA